UAAAAUUUAAAAGUAAAGUAUGUUUAGUAAAAUUAGAUUAGAAAGAGAAUGACAAGUUAGUUCUACAGGAGUUUGCUGCUGCUAACAACAAUACUACUACAUUUAUUCAGUUCCCAAGAAUUUUUCCUUUUUCUCUCCAUUUCUAGGGUUUCUAUCCAACCUCUCUAGGGUUUUGUACCAACAUACAUCUAUCCAUCGUCUUGAUUUGUGGUUACUAGUUGAGCUUUGUUCUUGUCUACUCAAUUGAGAUCGAUAACGACAGUUGAAAUGGUAGAUCUUUGUUAUGGCAUUUGAUAAAAGUUUAAAUCAGGCAAGAUCGAACAUCUUUUCAUAUGGUGUGUUGUAAUGUUAA
rnacentral:misc_RNA from 1 species